rnacentral:lncRNA from 1 species
GGAAUGUUACCUUCAAUACCCUUUCUGAACAGUUUUAUAAAGUAGAGUUCUUGGGUACACCAAGGUUGUAGUAUGUCUGAAUGCUAUGCAAAAUCAUGUAUGGUUCCAUGAAGUUUCCUGGACGAUUCCUCUUUCAGAUAUCUGAGCAUGCCAUGGUAUGACUAGAGCCAAGAAAGAUAGUCAAGUGCUGCCUAGCUAUAAGCUUGGACUCCAUGGGCAUUUUUUUCUGCUUGCUCAGUCUGAAGGAGAAAGUCCAGAAAGUAAAUUUUUAUCAUUCCAGAGUCAGAGUGUCUAGGUAUAAAUGGAUGUACCGGUGUGUCUCUAUGAGGAACCCAGAAGCCAGCCUCAUAUUUGUUUCUCAUGUGCCGAGGAAAAGAAAAGUUACAGGUAAGAAAAAAAUGGUAUUUAUAAUUUUCUUUCAGUGUAAAGGAUAAGUGUAGAAGACAAACAGAGAUAGUAAUGAGCCAAAUUAGAUUGACUGCUUUCUCAACUAAAAAUAAUAAUUAAGACAAGAUCUGGGUCCUGCUGUGAACCUAUAUAAAAUAUGUAAAUAAGUGAAACCUAGGUACAUUGAGAAUGGAAGGAUCAUUUGAGCCUUGGAGGUUGAAUGUACUGUUGGCAACAUAGUGGGAGCUAGUAACACACAAAAAAAGCUAACAUUAAUUUAAUGACAACUUUUUUAUAUGUGCAGAACACAUAUGCCCCAUUUACUACAUAAUCAUUCAAUGAAUUCUUUUCACAUCUGAAGAAUUACAGCUUUUCAGUGAUGAAACUGCUUAUAACAUAGUUAAUUCCAGCCAUUAUUCAAAGAUUGGUUCUAUUUACAGUUUUUUUGAUUUGACUCCAUAUUAAUACACUCAUGACAGUACUUGACUACUACUAACAUAACAUAUGCUUUACUCCAUGAUUCAUCAAGCAUCAUUGAUUUUAUUCAUUUUCAAUUUAUUUUAAGUCUACAGUAGACUAUACAU